rnacentral:rRNA from 1 species
UACGUAGGUGACAAGCGUUGUCCGGAUUUACUGGGCGUAAAGGGCGCGUAGGCGGUCGUGACAAGUCACUUGUGAAAUCUCCGGGCUUAACUCGGAACGGUCAAGUGAUACUGUCGGACUAGAGUACAGAAGGGGCAACUGGAAUUCUCGGUGUAGCGGUGAAAUGCGUAGAUAUCGAGAGGAACACCUGCGGCGAAGGCGGGUUGCUGGGCUGAUACUGACGCUGAGGCGCGAAAGCCCAGGGGAGCGAACGGG